GUCAAAACAUAAGAGGUCCAGCCUGCCCAGUGACAAAGUUCAACGGCCGCGGUACCCUAACCGUGCGAAGGUAGCAUAAUCACUUGUUCUUUAAAUGAGGACUCGUAUCAAUGGCACUACGAGGGCUAUACUGUCUCCUUUUUCUAAUCAGUGAAACUGAUCUCCCCGUGAAGAAGCGGGGAUCAAAAUAUAAGACGAGAAGACCCCAUGGAGCUUCAAACUCUCUAUGCACUUCUAUGCUCCACCCAUCAAACAUAAGAAACCUGCAUACUAGUUUUAGGUUGGGGGGACCACGGAGUACAAUUUAACCUCCAUAACAAAUGGGCUAAUACCCUUAUCCACGAGACACGACUCUAGAAUUAUUAAACUAAUGUUUAUGACCCGAUAUUCGAUCAAUGAACCAAGUUACCCUGGGGAUAACAGCGCAAUCUACUUCAAGAGCCCAUAUCGACAAGUAGGUUUACGACCUCGAUGUUGGAUCAGGGUAUCCCGGUGGUGCAGCCGCUACCAAUGGUUCGUUUGUUCAACGAU
rnacentral:rRNA from 1 species